rnacentral:rRNA from 1 species
UACGGAGGGUGCAAGCGUUAAUCGGAAUUACUGGGCGUAAAGCGCACGCAGGCGGUUCGCCAAGUUUGGAGUGACAGUUGUCGGCUCAACCGACAAAGGACUUCAAAAACUGGUGAACUUGAGGACGAGAGAGGAACAUGGAACUCCAGGUGUAGUAGUGAAAUGCGUAGAUAUCUGGAAGAACACCAAUGGCGAAGGCAAUGUUCUGGCUCGUUUCUGACGCUCAGGUGCGAAAGCCAGGGGAGCGAACGGG